rnacentral:rRNA from 1 species
GAUGAACGCUGGCGGCGUGCCUAAUACAUGCAAGUCGAGCGAACAGACGAGGAUCUUGCUCCUCUGACGUUAGCGGCGGACGGGUGAGUAACACGUGGAUAACCUACCUAUAAGACUGGGAUAACUUCGGGAAACCGGAGCUAAUACCGGAUAAUAUAUUGAACCGCAUGGUUCAAUAGUGAAAGACGGUUUUGCUGUCACUUAUAGAUGGAUCCGCGCCGCAUUAGCUAGUUGGUAAGGUAACGGCUUACCAAGGCAACGAUGCGUAGCCGACCUGAGAGGGUGAUCGGCCACACUGGAACUGAGACACGGUCCAGACUCCUACGGGAGGCAGCAGUAGGGAAUCUUCCGCAAUGGGCGAAAGCCUGACGGAGCAACGCCGCGUGAGUGAUGAAGGUCUUCGGAUCGUAAAACUCUGUUAUUAGGGAAGAACAAAUGUGUAAGUAAAUAUGCACGUCUUGACGGUACCUAAUCAGAAAGCCACGGCUAACUACGUG